rnacentral:lncRNA from 1 species
AACAUAGCAAAGCCCACAAUCUAAGAGGUGGCUUCGGGUACUCCGGUAUUUUUUUUGGAUCAGUUAUCAUGCUGCAGCAUCAAUCAUCAUUUGUUGUAGUCUACACCCUCCAUCAGCAUCAGUAUCAAGGUCACAGGGAAACAGGACACCUCUCCCAGAGAAGAAGUGUCACGAUGGGCAGCCACACCGGUCACUCUUUGACUCCUGACCUCACGGAGGUGCGUGGUAACAGAGGUCGCCACCCCGGAGAGUCUUCUCUUUCUCCUCCAGUGGGAGCAGGUGUUGCAAAAGGGCUGACCUCUUGAAGAGAAUGAAAGGGCUGUUUGAUAAUUUACUGGAGUUGAAUGUGCCACACGUGCCUCUCUCCCUAGGGGUGAGGGAGACACUGCCAACAUAGACACUGCCAACACUGCAACUCAAUUAAACAAACCUAAUAAUCACAUAUGGCCUGCUUAUCAUUUAUUAUAUACUGCAUGAACAACAGGCUUAAAAACGUAUUAGCUUAGUAUAUAUUGAAUGUAUACAUGUGCAUCUGUUUGAAUUUAAAGUAUUCAUGACAAGGUUUCAUGUCAAUGCUCUCUGUUACCGCUCACUGACAAACUUCUCACCAGGAAAGAGGGGAUAGAAGGUGAAAUGUGGACCUCUUCAGGGCCUGACUGUUCUCAACGCAGAACAAACAAACAUGUGCAAAGCAGUGGGUCUACAGAGCCGACCACCUGGAGGUAAACUCAUUAAGAGUCCUAUAAAAACCUUCUGCUAGCACAGCAAGCCUUGCACCAUUUCCCCACCAACAAAAUUAUAACAACCACUAC